rnacentral:lncRNA from 1 species
AGGAACCACAACUCAGUUUGCCGAACAAUCUUUCGAGAACAAGAGGCAAACUAUCUGGGGAAACAAGAUAGCGGGGAGCAAGGAGACUCGCCGCAAAUUCUGCAAUAUGGCUCAUGUAAGCCAUUGGAUCGAGAGAGUCUGCGACCAAUGUUCGUUGCAGAAAGAACCUGAAUUCGGCAAAGGUUUCCUCCCGAAACCUGACAGAAGAAGGUUCCGGUCUGAUGAACACGACGAACGUCAGACUCCAAAGGGAAGAACUCCGCGGGCACCAAAAAAGUAAGGUGGCCGACAAAGCAAUGUGAAUCAUGUGAUUCACAGCAAGGAUCGCACCCACAAAAGAAACGACAAAAGUGGGUGGAAGAACAGGAGGA